AUUGAACGCUGGCGGCAGGCCUAACACAUGCAAGUCGAACGAGUGGCGGACGGGUGAGUAAUGUCGGGGAAACUGCCUGAUGGAAGGGGAUAACUACUGGAACCGGUAGCUAAUACCGCAUACCAUCAGAUGUGCCCAGAUGGGAUUAGCUAGUGGGGGGGUGAACGGUUCACCUAGGCGACGAUCCCUAGCUGGUCUGAGCGGAUGACCAGCCACACUGGAACUGCGACACGGUCCAGACUCCUACGGUGGGCAGCAGUGGGGAAUAUUGCACAAUGGGCUCAAUCCUGAUGCAGCCAUGCCGCGUGUAUGAAGAAGGCCUUCGGGUUGGAAAGUACUUUCAGCGGGGAGGCGUUACCCGCAGAAGAAGCACCGGGUAACUCCGUGCCAGCAGCCGCGGUAAUUC
rnacentral:rRNA from 1 species